rnacentral:rRNA from 1 species
UACGUAGGGGGCAAGCGUUGUCCGGAUUUAUUGGGCGUAAAGAGCGUGUAGGCGGCCAGUUAGGUCCGUUGUGAAAACUCGAGGCUCAACCUCGAGACGCCGAUGGAAACCAACUGGCUAGAGUCCGGAAGAGGAGAGUGGAAUUCCUAGUGUAGAGGUGAAAUUCGUAGAUAUUAGGAAGAACACCAGUGGCGAAGGCGGCUCACUGGCCCGGUACUGACGCUCAUGUGCGAAAGCGUGGGGAGCAAACAGG